UUUGUCCUGAUAGGUGCCAUUCACAAGUCGUUCUCUCCAAUCGAAGCUGUGAUUCAGCACCGCGGGGGUGCUGGAACUGGACAGCGACUGCCCACUCCUUUUCCGCUUGUGGAGACGCAAUGAUGUCUGGGAAACGGAGUUUUUUGCUGCUUCUAAACAAAGGCCACGCAGGGCAAAACUACUAAUGGCCGACGCUCCGGAUUUAUAAUGCAUAAUAUUCAUAAAACAAGUUACGGGUGGCCAACUUCGCCGUGGAGAGGUCAGGACGCGCAUCUGGAACCGAGCGGGCCAUGCCUGGAUGUGUCAAUGCCGAGAUGAAGGUUCAGUGAGGAGGAACAGUAGACAGAAAGAGGGGAUUCCGAAAAGGGCUGUGGAUUCAUGCACACAGUUAAAGCAGUGCAUGCAGAAGAGCAGCUUCACAUGAAAAUGCGUUCGGUGGGGUCAGCCUCUCCCACGGUGGGCGGCUUGUCCACUGGAGCCCGAGCACUAAUGAUCUCUCUCUCUUACCUUCUUUAAUGCCUUUGAAGUGGCUCUCUGAAGAUGAAGGCACUCACUCUCGCCUUUCCUCUCUCUUUUCCUCCCUUUUUUAUCAUCUCAUCUGUUUGCCUGAGAUGAGAGAAUGUCCUUGCCGUCACCUGGGAGAAGGGGGAGAGAGUUUUCCACACCCCCUCACACCCUCAUCUCCUCUCCACAGGUGUGCUGGACCCCAGUGUUACAUGCGGGAUUAUGCUGUCAAAUUAACUCCGGGUUUCUUUUUUCCCACAUGACUCUGUGCAUUUAAAGGUUUUUCACUUUGAUGUACUCGGGUGUUACAAGAGGUUAGUGCUGUUAUGCUGAUGUAGUUCUGUGCUAGAUUAUAUCUGUCUAUCUGUCUGUAUAUCAUCCAUUUUAUAGAUCUAUCUACAGUAUUCU